AUGGCCGCCGGAGGCGAGGCUGGGAGCGACUCCGGAGGCGACGGCGCGGGGCCUGGCCAGGCCGCCCUCCAGGAGACGACUCAAGAUCUGCAAAUGUCGUUUGUCAAGAUGAUGCAGACACACAGUCCACAAUCAUGGUCAGCCCUGCCAUCAGAGCUUGCUGGUAUGGUCCUUUGUCGCCUCCCUUCCCACGUUGACCGUGUGCGCUUCGCUGCUGUAUGUCACCAUUGGCGCUUCUCCAGACAAGAGCAUAGCCUGCCCCCACCUUUACCAUGGCUUGCAUUCCCUGAUGGAACCUUCUUCGGCCUUCCCCGUGGAGACGGGGCAAAAGAGUCCUUCAAGCUCCCAAUCAGUGCCAACUAUUGUAUCACCUGCGGUGACUGGCUUGUCUUCUCACAGAACGACACAUGUUUCCUAAUGAACCCCUUCUCCAAGAUCACCUUGACGCUUCCUAACCUAUCUUCUUUCUGUCUUGUGGAUGAGCCUGUUGGAAUUAUUAAUGGUCGUGAUGUCCUGGAUGAAGACAUGUCUAGUCCUCUGCUACAGAUGGAUACUGCGAUAUCUCUGCGCAAGGUAAUCAGGUGCUCGGAACUCCUUGUUGCUGCCAUCGUUGAAAUUGGGCCUCUUUGCACUGUUGCGUACUGCCAACCGGGUUCAACCUCAUGGUUGGUGAGUGAACUUGGCAUCAUAGGGUCGGUCAUAGACAUGAUGUUCUAUGAAGGUAUGCUGUAUGUCAUUGAUGAGUUCAACGACCUUUUGGCAAUCAAUGUCAGAGAGGACAAUGAUAAUGGCAAGUUAAGGGUACCUCGGAUCGAGCGUCUACUUGAUGGUGCCCCCUGUGUCUUAAAGUUGAUCCAAGGUGGCAUCUCUUAUUUCGAGUCGUAUCUAGUUGAAUCUCAUGGUGCACUACUGCUGGUACAGAGAACAAUAUUUGGUGAAUGUGAUAAUGAUACGAUUGGUGGUAUCAAGCCAGUAGGGAUUGAAUUUGAGGUGUGUCAGUCAGACUUCCAGUCUCAAAGUUGGGUGAAGGUGAGCAGUGUUGGGGAUGACCAGACAUUGUUCGUCAGCCAAAGUUCAUCCCAAUCUGUUGACGUGUCUCAGUACAAGCUGAAGGGGGAUUGCAUCUACUUCCUGGACGAUGGCAGCUGUGACUGGUUCUGGAAGGAUGCGCCAAGUUCUUGUGCUGUAUAUGACAUGCGAGAUGGAAAUUGUUUCUUCAUACCACUGCCGACAGUAGCAUGCAAGGACGUCAAAAUGCUAGCGGCGUGGCUUUUCCCUCAGAACUGA
rnacentral:rRNA from 1 species